CCUACGGGUGGCAGCAGUCGGGAAUAUUGCGCAAUGGAGGCAACUCUGACGCAGUGACGCCGCGUGCAGGAAGAAGGUUUUCGGAGUUUAAACUGCUUUAGACAGGGGAGAAAAAAGACAGUACCUGUAGAAUCAGCACCGUCUAACUCCGUGCCAGCAGCCGCGGUAAUACGGAGGAAGCAAGCGUUUUCCGGAUUGAUUGGGUUGAAAGGGUGCGUAGACGGAGAAGCAAGUUAGUUGUGAAAUCCCUCGGCGUAACUGAGGAACUGCAACUAAAACUACUGCCCUUGAGUACUGGAGAGGAAAGUGGAAUGCCUAGUGUAGCGGUGAAAUGCGUAGAUAUUAGGAGGAACACCAGUGGCGAAGGCGACUUUCUGGACUGUAACUGACGUUGAGGCACGAAAGUGUGGGGAGCAAACAGGAUUAGAUACCCGAGUAGUC
rnacentral:rRNA from 1 species